GUCACAUGAUGACCAGGAUAUAAUGAAAGCACAUUGUAGCCAAGGGAGCAUUGCGCGCGGGGAGCCUGCCUUUUGCGCAGGAACUUCUCCAAGGAGGACCUUUUUUUUUGGGGGGGGACAGGCUUUUGGGAAGGGGGCAAGGGGACCAGGGCGGUCCGAAAUUGGGAGGAGGACCCCCUUCAGCCCUGCCCCAAGACCCCCCUAGCUUUUCCCCUUCUUUUUCUUUUUGGGAGGAACUUGGAAAGGAGGAACCCCUGCGUGGGAAUGGCACCUGUUCCUUGCCAAGAUUGCGCAUUUUUACGCACGGUUGGGAAAAAAUGAGAAGCUCCUGGAGGAGCAGAUCCAAGCCCCAGGAGAAGAAGAAGGUGGUGAUGAAGAUGAUGGUGGUGAUGAUGAUGGAAUUUUGUGUUUAUGGCUUGUGUGCCUCCAAGCCCUUCCCUAUUUAGGGCCACCCUGUGUGGUGUGUUGAGUCGCCUUCAAGCCAACCUAAAAAGGAGACCUAUCAUCCGGGGAGCUUCUUGGCAAGGUUUGUUCAAAGGUUUGCCAUUGCUGCUUCUCCUGAGGCUGAGAGAGUGUCGCUCGCCCAAAGUCAGCCAGUGGGUUUCCAAGCCGAGCAGGGAUUCGAACCCUGGGUCCCAGAGUCAUAAUCCAACCCACAAACCAGGACGCCACUGUAUUAUUGUUUCUUUUUUAAAAAAUGAGGCGAUUUUCUAUUCUUUUUCCACCCCCCUCCUUUGCUUUUGGGGGAGAAGAGGAACUCCUGCCUUCAAGGAGAAGGUUCAAGGACUGCUUUGUUGAACUUUUCCUCCUGUUGUUCUCAGUUUAACUCGCUGUGUCAUCAUGAGGAGACAUUAUCAGCUCGGCGCUGGAGAAGAGAAUUUCAUCGAGUGAAGAGCUACUUGGUAGUUUCCAAGGCAACUACCUGCAGAAUCAUUAAAAAAAGACAGAAGGCUCUUGUGUGAAGCAAAAGGUUGUGUACGCUUCUUUCCCCCACUCCAUCUUUUUUUUGGGGGGGGGGAGUUGUUUUAUUUCCCCCUAAGAAUAUUUCCACCUUCUACCACUUUUACUCUGAUAAAGUCCUUCAGGUCUGCCCGGGAACUUUGAAGUCGAGCCAGGAGUUUGAUCAUCCAGUGGAGAACUGGCCAGAAUCUCAAGGGCCAUCACAUGGAAAUGGUCUUGCAAGGAGGAGGGCUCACUCCUAAAUCUUCAUUCUUGAAAGAGAACUAUCUCCAGGUCAUUUUCACAGUUGAGGUCGUUCUUUGAUACUCGGCUGGAAAGGAUCCCAGAUCUUCUCUUGCCCCCUGCCUUAUGGAUCCAAGUUGAUUUAUGACUGUUCCAACCAGGUGUUUCUCCAACUGAUUUGGAGCAAUGGUACAUUCUCCAUAUGCCCUUCUUCUAAUUUCCAAACUAAAUAUUCUUGAUGGGACAUACUAUGUUUUGUCCACAGCGGAGCAAAAGAUCUGAUCAUCAUUCUCUUCAAGACAAACCAAUAGCAGCAACAGUACCAUAGUGUCUGCUCCAGUGUUCGAAUACCCUGACCAUUCAAAAUUUUUCCCAAUUUCCAACCUAAAUAUUUUUGAUAGUUGCUUUGGGAUGCAUUAUAUUUUGUACACUGUUGUCUAAAAGAUCUGAUCACUGUUCUCUUCAAGCCAAUCCAAAAUGUUAUGGCCUUCUCAGUCCUGUCUUUUUCAUAUUAAGCAACCUUCAGAUGUCCCUCAUAAUGGCCACUCAUUGUGGUUCAGGAGUGUAUGUUGUCAUGUACUUAUUGCUAGAACCGACCACUGUGAUAUCGCCAGUACUGUUUCAACUGUCUUUUUAAAACAAUGGCAACUUAGUAGAGCCAAUAUCUGCUUUCAGCAAUUCAGAGAGACUAUUGCUGUUUGAAGUGUGGAGAAGUCCUGGAUACUUAAAGAGAUAAUGGUGGAGGUCCAUCCAUUUUUGCCACGAAAGGUCUCCUCCCAUCCUGACUGCAACCUGAACUUUGCUUUCCUUCUAAAGAGAACAUGCAAAUGCAACCCAGGGUGUGGUGGUGCGACUGUAGCCUGGGACUCCUACUCUCAUUUGGAUUAUGUGCUCUUCGUUUGCUCGGUCUUCUCGUAAUGAGAUGCCAAGUCAAAUGCAUCUGAUGGAGCCACAGAGACAGGACUUUGGAGGCGUUGCCUGGGAUGUCACACAGCAUGAAGAUCCUUUGGAGAACUGGCAUGCUACGCCUGGAACAUUGCCCGCCAAAAAGAAGAAGCUGAGACAGCAAAUGGACUAAAAACCUGAGAGCGGAAUUAUGCUUCCAUGGAGCCUGAAAUGAAAUGAACUCCUGAGGUCUGCAUAGAGCUCCACAAGCUUGCCACAACGCAGCUGGUUACAAGAGCAGGAACUGAACUGGAAAUAUUGAAGACUCACAUUGUGUGCACAAGUGAAUAGGGAAGCGGACAGGGAGAAUGUGUGACUCGGGUGCGUGAGCAAGCGAUUAUGUGAGUGGGCAGUUAAUGAGGUUGGCGAAGCACAUGGGUAGCAUACCCUCGGAUGAACAGUCGGGCCGAGAUGAAUUCAGAGUCCGGCCAACUUCAUUAGCAACCAUCGCGAUACAUCCACGUAGCAGUGCAAGGGACUUCGUAAACACCAGGAAGAAGGUGGAGGUCUCCGUGCUGAAUAACAAGAGAACUUGGACGUAAAUUGGGAUUAUUAUUACCUUUUUUCAUUACACUAAUUGCCACCGCAGGGUGGGUGGCAAGGGGACAUUUUUGUCAGGAGUGCAGCCAGGAAGAGGCAGGUUAAAAACUCGGCUCCUUGUGCUUUGCAUACUUGAUAAAAAUCACUCCCACAACACACAAAGUAUUAUUUAUUUAUUUUUUUAAAAAGCUGAGCAUGGUUGCUAACUAUGCCAUCAGAGUAAUCCUGGCGUUCUCCUCACAUCCCUUUUUAAGUGGAGAUGGCAUGAAUUAAGCCUGGGGCUUACUCCAUUGAAUGCAUUUGUUCCUCCUGCCUUUCCUCUUUUUUUUCCUCUUUAAUUUUAUUUUUUGGCAGACUGUGAUUUGAGUGCCUUAUCACACAUCUUCCUCAUUAAAAAAUGUGAAAACAGAGCAGAAAGGGACUUCCAAGUUAUGGAGAGGAUGCACUCUUGUACGGCAAAGACUUUGGCUGCAUUCCACACACUGCAGAAGCAAUCCGGUUUAGUGCCACUUUAACUGCCAUGGUUCCACCACAACAAAUUACAACUCACAGAAGUCCAUAGCCUGGCGUCAUGGCAGUUAAAGUGGUGUCAAACCGGAUUAUUUGUGCAGUGUGCAUGCAGCCCUGGUCUCCUUAAUACUGAGUGAGUUUCAAGCUAGAGGUUUUCACACUUUAGCUUUUUUCUAUGAUGAUUAGAUAGUGGCAGAAUGUGGCAUGAGGAUAUAAAAGAAUAAAGUGAUCUACAGUCUCUUACAGGUUGAUCUAAAGAAGUGUGAAUUCUUGCAGUGGGUUUUGUCAGAUUUUGCCCAUUGUUGCCCAUUGUUCUUGGGUUUUGUCAGAUUUUGCCCAUUGUUGUUGCCUCUGUGUUUACUUGUUCCAUUCUUUUGGGUAGGUUGUUUGUUGUGAUUUCUUCAUUCUUCAAUAGAUUUGGGCACAAGGGCUGCCUGUUGCAUAUGCAAUGUGACAGGGACGUAGCCAGGACUUGGGGAAGGGGGGUCCAGACUAAGUGCCACCAUUAUAAUGGGGCUUAGGUGCAGCAACGCGAACCAUUCAUUUUAUCUAAUGGAAGGGGGGGUCCGGACCCCAAGGACUCCCCCCCCUUGGCUACGUCCCUGACUGUGAUAAGGUCAGGUCAAAGGUGCACAAGUAUACCUGAGUUAACAAAUCAAAUGUGUUUCUGGGUUUUACCGGUUGAGUAUCUCUUAUCUGAUAUGCUUAAGAUUUUGGAAUUCUUUUUUGGAUUUUGGAAUAUUUGCAUAUAUAGAAUGAGUUGAUUAGAGAUUGAGUCUAAAUAUAAACAUGACAUUCAUUUACUCACAAGUCUACACCUUGUGAGUCCUAGUAGACAAUAAGUUGAAUGUGAGUCAACAGUGUGAUGUAGCAGCUAAAAAAGCCAAAAAAGAGGAACUCUGGUGCCACAACAAACUACAGUUCAAGUCCCCAGAAUUCCAAAACAUUGAACCAUGGCAGUUAAAAGUGGUGUCAAACCAGAUUAUUUCUACAGUGCAGAUGCAACCAGAAUGUCUCACUUGGACAUCUAAUGCUUAAGUCUCCCACUUACAUAAGAGUAUACGUCAUUGAACUCAAAGGGGCUUACUUUUAAGUAACCGUAUACUGGAUUUGGUUAUCAGAUGUCAGUAGUCAUGUCAUCUCCUCCAUUUCUGUAGCUUCACAUGAUUUCACUCGGUAGGGAAAUGUCCCCAUUUAGCAGCUAGUAGAGUGCUUGCCCAUGAGGUGUAGUGGUUUGAGUGUUGGACAAGUGACUCUGGAGACCAGGGUUCGAAUCGCCGCUCCCACUGGGUGACCUUGAGCAAGUCACACUCUCUCAGCCUUAGAGGAUGGCAGUGGCAAACCCCCUCUGAAUAAACUUGCCAAGGAACCCCAGUGAUAGGUCCACCUUAGGGAUGCCAUAAGUCAGAAACAUCUUGAAGGCACACGUCGACAAUAACAGAGUGCUUGUCUAUAGCCAGUUUCAUUCUCCUAGUUACAUGUCCUGAAGUCAAAUGGAGACAGUAGUUUGGAUAUCUGUUUACUAGGUAAAAUUCUCCUUCAGAGGUUUAGUGACCUUGCGGCACUGAGUGUGAAUAAUACAUAGUCGUCGUUUGUUGUUUAACUCGCAAUGUCAAGGUUACAGCCUUGCCACCGUGGCCUUCCCUGGGCAGCCCGCAGUACAAUCAGUCUAUUGUUUUAGUGUUAUUGCUACAACAUCCUGUUUGGUUAUUUUAUUAAGUUAUGCACAGUACAUUUUGCUGUUGGGUGGGUCUCUCCUUUUUUCUUCUCUUUUUUUUGGUUUGAUGAUAAAAGAGACCUUUUGAACAUUGAGCAAGCCGGUACGAUCGUUUUGUUGGAGGUUAUUGAAGGCCAAAAAGUGUUGUGUGAUAGAUAGUACAAUAAAUCGAAUCACAUUGUUUAAAGUAGUGUUUCUCAGACUUUGGCUCUCCAGGUGCUAUAGAUUCAACUCCAAGAAUUCUUAGCUAUCAGCCAUGUUGGCUGGGCUUCUGGGAGCUGAGAUACUGUAGGUGGAGGAGCAAUGUUUAGGGACCUCUGCUUCAAAGAAUCCAUGGGGUAAGGUUGGUUAAAGAGUUGGAUCAGGAGUAGAAAGAGCCAGGUUCAAAUCCUGCCUUAGCCAAGGAUGACCAGGUGUCAUAACCGCAAAGGAGAACAAGGCACCGCAAGGUGUAGAAUGUUCAAAAACAAUGUAGGACUUUGCAAAAUAAAAGCUAAAAGCACUAAUAUAAAUAUCAGUUCAUGCUCAGAAUGAAAGAAAUUGUGAAAUUCCUCCUGGACAGAUGGUGGAAAUGUAAGACAUGUCCUGGAAAAGGGGACUAUCUGGUCACCCAUUAUGAGAAAGCUUGCUAUGCCAUCUUGGGCUACUCAUUGUCCUAGGAAAGGACAAUAUACGUGUUGCUGUAGUCUUCUAGGAAGGGCAUAAUGAAAAUGAAAUGACAAUAAUUGUUGUUGUUGCAUGCCUUUAACUUAUUUCCAACUUAUGGUGACCCUAAGACAAACCUAUCAUGGGAUUUUCUUGGCAAGUUUCUUCAGAGGGUUUUUUGCCAUUGCCAUCCUUUGAGGCUGAGAGAGUGUGACUUGCCCAAGGUCACCCAGAGGUUUUACAUGGCCAAGCUGGGAUUUGAACCAUCGUCUCCAGAGCUCAAACCGUUACACCACACUGGCCCACAGUGGCAAUAAGAAUGAAGAGUAAUUCUAUAUUACAUAUUCAUUGAGUUACUCCAGAAUAUAAAGAUUAUCUUGUCAAAUCAAUUCAGGAACUAAAUCAGUUUCCUGUUUCCAACAAUGAUUAGCCAGAUGAAGACACAGAAGUAGUCCAGAUAGAAACAUAAAUGCCUUUCUCUUUUACCAAAUACUUUAAGAUAUACUGGCCUGUU